UGAAGGUGUGUCGUGAAAUCCCUCGGCUCAACCGGGGAACUGCGAUGCAAACCACACGUCUUGAGUCAGGUAGAGGUUGUCGGAACGUUCGGUGGAGCGGUGAAAUGCGUAGAUAUCGAACGGAACGCCCAUGGGGAAGCCAGGCAACUGGACCUGUACUGACGCUGAGGCACGAAAGCGUGGGGAGCAAACAGGAUUAGAUACCCUGGUAGUCCACGCCGUAAACACUGUGCACUAGAUCGGUGGCGGUCUGACCCGUUGCCGGUCGCAGAGAAAUUAUUAAGUGCACCGCCUGGGGAGUACGGUCGCAAGGCUAAAACUCAAAGGAAUUGACGGGGGCUCACACAAGCGGUGGAGCAUGUUGCUUAAUUCGAAGCAACGCGAAGAACCUUACCAGGGUUUGACAUGCACGGAUUAGCCUUUGGAAACAUUGGUCACGCUCGCAAGAGUGGAACGUGCACAGGUGCUGCAUGGCUGUCGUCAGCUCGUGCUGUGAAGUGUCGGGUUAAGUCCCUUAACGAGCGCAACCCUUGUCGCUAGUUGCCAGCGAGUCAUGUCGGGGACUCUAGCGAGACUGCCGGUGUCAAACCGGAGGAAGGUGGGGAUGACGUCAAGUCAGCAUGGCCCUUAUGUCCUGGGACGCAAACGUGCUACAAUGGCCUGUACAGAGCGACGCGAUACCGCGAGGUGGAGCAAAUCGCAAAAAGCAGGCCCCAGUUCAGAUUGCAGUCUGCAACUCGACUGCAUGAAGGUGGAAUCGCUAGU
rnacentral:rRNA from 1 species